GUGAAUCAUCAAAUUUUUGAACGCAAAUUGCACUCUCCUCGGAGAGUGUGCCUGUUUGAGGGUCAGCCUAUAAAAAAUCGACAUCGUUGCUGUUUCGCGGUGACGUUCGUCGGAAAUUGGGACAUCUUAAAUCCUUUUGGGUUUAAGCGUCUUAAAAAUUUCUUUUUGGUUCCAUGAACGUUUCUAAGAUUUCUUUCUUUACACUAUUUAGGUAUCUAUAUUUAUUAGACUUGACCAUCAUAUCGGAUCGCGGCCGAUAUCUUUCAUUUACUGAC
rnacentral:misc_RNA from 1 species